CAAGUCGAACGCGAAAGGGGAGCAAUCCCUGAUUAGAGUGGCAAACGGGUGAGUAACACGUGGGUGACCUGCCUUCGAGUGGGGGAUAACCUUCCGAAAGGAGGGCUAAUACCGCAUGACAUACCGUGUUUGGAUACACGGAUAUCAAAGCCGGGGAUCGCAAGACCUGGCGCUUGGAGAGGGGCCCGCGUCCGAUUAGCUAGUUGGUGAGGUAACGGCUCACCAAGGCUCCGAUCGGUAUCCGGCCUGAGAGGGCGGACGGACACACUGGAACUGAGACACGGUCCAGACUCCUACGGGAGGCAGCAGUGGGGAAUUGUUCGCAAUGGGCGAAAGCCUGACGACGCAACGCCGCGUGGAGGAUGAAGAAUUUCGGUUCGUAAACUCCUUUCGACCGAGAUGAAUACCCACGGACCUAACACGUCUGUGGGCUGACAGUAUCGAGAGAAGAAGCCCCGGCUAACUCUGUGCCAGCAGCCGCGGUAAUACAGGGGAGGCAAGCGUUGUUCGGAAUUACUGGGCGUAAAGGGUUCGUAGGUGGCCAACUAAGUCAGACGUGAAAUCCCUCAGCUUAACUGGGGAACUGCGUCUGAUACUGGUUGGCUUGAGUGCAGGAGAGGAACGCAGAAUUCCAGGUGUAGCGGUGAAAUGCGUAGAUAUCUGGAGGAAUACCGGUGGCGAAGGCGGCGUUCUGGACUGUAACUGACACUGAGGAACGAGAGCCAGGGGAGCAAACGGGAUUAGAUACCCCGGUAGUCCUGGCCCUAAACGAUGAAUGCUUGGUGUGGCGGGUAUCGAUCCCUGCCGUGCCGAAGUUAACGCGAUAAGCAUUCCGCCUGGGGAGUACGGUCGCAAGGCUGAAACUUAAAUGAAUUGACGG
rnacentral:rRNA from 1 species